rnacentral:rRNA from 1 species
AGAGUUUGAUUAUGGCUCAGGAUGAACGCUGGCGGCGUGCUUAAUACAUGCAAGUCGAACGAAGACAUCUCGCCGAAGCUUGCUUCAUUGAGAUAUCUUAGUGGCGGACGGGUGAGUAACGCGUGGGUAACCUGCCUUACACAGGGGGAUAACAGUUAGAAAUGACUGCUAAUACCGCAUAAGCGCACAUUAUCGCAUGAUAGAGUGUGAAAAGAUUUAUCGGUGUAAGAUGGACCCGCGUCUGAUUAGCUAGUUGGUGAGGUAACGGCCCACCAAGGCGACGAUCAGUAGCCGGCCUGAGAGGGUGAACGGCCACAUUGGGACUGAGACACGGCCCAAACUCCUACGGGAGGCAGCAGUAGGGAAUAUUGGACAAUGGGGGAAACCCUGAAUCCAGCGACGCCGCGUGAGUGAAGAAGUAUUUCGGUACGUAAAGCUCUAUCAGCAGGGAAGAAAAUGACGGUACCUGACUAAGAAGCACCGGCUAAAUACGUGCCAGCCGCCGC